rnacentral:rRNA from 1 species
GCCCUUCACAGGGGGAUAACCGGGAGAAAUUCCGACUAAUACCGCAUACGUCCUCCGGGGGCAUCCCCUGGGGAUGAAAGAUUUAUCGGUGAAGGAUGGGCAUGCGUGAUAUUAGGUAGUUGGCGGGGCAACGGCCCACCAAGCCCACGAUAUCUAGGGGUUCUGAGAGGAAGGUCCCCCACAUUGGUACUGAGACACGGACCAAACUCCUACGGGAGGCAGCAGUGAGGAAUAUUGGUCAAUGGACGAGAGUCUGAACCAGCCAAGUCGCGUGAAGGAAGACGGAUCUAUGGUUUGUAAACUUCUUUAGUGCGGGAACAAAGCGGCGUCGUGACGCCGGAUGAGUGUACCACAAGAAUAAGCAUCGGCUAACUCCGUGCCAGCAGCCGCGGUAAUACGGAGGAUGCGAGCGUUAUCCGGAUUUAUUGGGUUUAAAGGGAGCGCAGGCUGCGAGGCAAGUCAGCGGUCAAAUGUCGGGGCUCAACCCCGGCCUGCCGUUGAAACUGUCCUGCUAGAGUUCGAGUGAGGUAUGCGGAAUGCGUUGUGUAGCGGUGAAAUGCAUAGAUAUGACGCAGAACUCCGAUUGCGAAGGCAGCAUACCAACUCGCGACUGACGCUGAGGCU